rnacentral:rRNA from 1 species
UCGUGGAGUGAUUUGUCUGCUUAAUUGCGAUAACGAACGAGACCUUAACCUGCUAAAUAGCUAGGCUAGCUUUGGCUGGUCGCCGGCUUCUUAGAGGGACUAUCGGCUCAAGCCGAUGGAAGUUUGAGGCAAUAACA